rnacentral:pre_miRNA from 1 species
AAUAAGUUUAUUUUUUAGUCUUUGAAUACAAUUUUCUGACUCUUCGUCUUAUUUGAAUUUGUUUAUGAUUAAUAUUUUUAUUGUUACUAGAUAAUAAAAUAUAAAUAGUAUUUUAUAGAAGACUAUUUUUUAAAAGUUUUUUCAAAUAAGACGAAUGGUAAAAACGUUGAACACAUAAAUCGAAAAAUAAAGUUAUU